UACAGAGGUGGCAAGCGUUGUUCGGAAUUACUGGGCGUAAAGGGCGCGUAGGCGGUCCUUCAAGUCCCGCGUGAAAUCCCCCGGCUCAACUGGGGAACUGCGCGGGAAACUGUAGGGCUUGAGUUCGGGAGAGGGAAGCGGAAUUCCGGGUGUAGCGGUGAAAUGCGUAGAUAUCCGGAGGAACACCGGUGGCGAAGGCGGCUUCCUGGACCGACACUGACGCUGAGGCGCGAAAGCUAGGGGAGCAAAC
rnacentral:rRNA from 1 species